rnacentral:rRNA from 1 species
UACGUAGGGGGCAAGCGUUGUCCGGAUUUAUUGGGCGUAAAGAGCGUGUAGGCGGCCAGACAGGUCCGUUGUGAAAACUCGAGGCUCAACCUCGAGAUGUCGAUGGAAACCGUCCGGCUAGAGUCCGGAAGAGGAGUGUGGAAUUCCUGGUGUAGCGGUGAAAUGCGCAGAUAUCAGGAAGAACACCUAUGGCGAAGGCAGCACUCUGGGACGGUACUGACGCUGAGACGCGAAAGCGUGGGGAGCGAACAGG